rnacentral:rRNA from 1 species
UACGUAGGUCCCGAGCGUUGUCCGGAUUUAUUGGGCGUAAAGCGAGCGCAGGUGGUUUAUUAAGUCUGGUGUAAAAGGCAGUGGCUCAACCAUUGUAUGCAUUGGAAACUGGUAGACUUGAGUGCAGGAGAGGAGAGUGGAAUUCCAUGUGUAGCGGUGAAAUGCGUAGAUAUAUGGAGGAACACCGGUGGCAAAAGCGGCUCUCUGGCCCGUAACUGACACUGAGGCUCGAAAGCGUGGGGAGCAAACAGG